rnacentral:tRNA from 1 species
GCAUCCGUGGCCGAGUGGCUGAAGGCAACGGACUCAUAAUCCGUUUUCUUUUUAAGACAUCACUGGUUCGAAUCCAGUCGGAUGCA